rnacentral:rRNA from 1 species
GAUGAACGCUAGCUACAGGCUUAACACAUGCAAGUCGAGGGGCAGCAUUUUUCAGCAAUAGAAGAGAUGGCGACCGGCGCACGGGUGAGUAACACGUAUCCAACCUGCCGAUAACUCCGGAAUAGCCUUUCGAAAGAAAGAUUAAUACCGGAUGGCAUACGAAUAUCGCAUGAUAUUUUUAUUAAAGAAUUUCGGUUAUCGAUGGGGAUGCGUUCCAUUAGUUUGUUGGCGGGGUAACGGCCCACCAAGACUACGAUGGAUAGGGGUUCUGAGAGGAAGGUCCCCCACAUUGGAACUGAGACACGGUCCAAACUCCUACGGGAGGCAACAGUGAGGAAUAUUGGUCAACGGGCGAGAGCCUGAACCAGCCAAGUAGCGUGAAGGAUGAAGGCUCUAUGGGUCGUAAACUUCUUUUAUAUGGGAAUAAAGUUUUCCACGUGUGGAAUUUUGUAUGUACCAUAUGAAUAAGGAUCGGCUAACUCCGUG